rnacentral:rRNA from 1 species
UACGUAGGUGGCGAGCGUUGUCCGGAUUUACUGGGCGUAAAGAGCGCGCAGGCGGUCGUUCAAGUCGCGUGUGAAAGCCCCCGGCUCAACUGGGGAGGGUCACGCGAUACUGAUCGACUCGAAGGCAGGAGAGGGAAGUGGAAUUCCCGGUGUAGUGGUGAAAUGCGUAGAUAUCAGGAAGAACACCCGUGGCUAAGGCGGCUCUCUAGUACGGUACUGACGCUGAGACGCGAAAGCGUGGGGAGCGAACAGG